CGGUGCCGACGCGAGCAGCAUGCGCUUACGCUUCGUUCUUCUUCAGAUCGCAGUAACGAUCGCUCUUGGAUCACCGCUACCCGCCCAAGAUGACCACUGGUGCCUGGCUGCAGCCCCGUCUGCUGAGCAAGGGCCACGAAUGGAAAGAGCCCAUCAAGUUUUGGACUUAUCUGCCACGCCGUGCCUGACAGCGCGGAACAGUCUCAACGGUCAGAGGGCAGCACCGGCUGACCUUCAACUACAAAAGCAGCUGAGCCGCCUUUCUCCAGUGGGACUCUGUGCCGACGCGAGCAGCAUGCGCUUACGCUUCGUUCUUCUUCAGAUGGCAGUAACGA
rnacentral:lncRNA from 1 species